rnacentral:rRNA from 1 species
GACGAACGCUGGCGGCGUGCCUAAUACAUGCAAGUCGAGCGAACAGACGAGGAGCUUGCUCCUCUGACGUUAGCGGCGGACGGGUGAGUAACACGUGGAUAACCUACCUAUUGGACUGGGAUAACUUCGGGAAACCGGAGCUUAUGCCGGAUAAUAUAUUGAACCGCAUGGUUCAAUAGUGAAAGACGGUUUUGCUGUCACUUAUAGAUGGAUCCGCGCCGCAUUAGCUACUUGGUAAGGGAACGGCUUACCACGGCAGCGAUGGGUAGCCGACCGGAGGGGGGGAUCGGCCACACGGGAACUGAGACUGGGUCCCGACUCCAACGGGAGGCAGCAGUAGGGAAUCUUACGCAAUGGGCGAAAGCCUAACGGAGCAACGCCGAGUGAGUGAUGAAGGUCUUCGGAUCGGAAAACUCUGUUAUUAGGGAAGAACAAAUGUGUAAGUAACUAUGCACGUCUUGACGGUACCUAAUCAGAAAGCCACGGCUAACUACGUG